rnacentral:tRNA from 2 species
GGGCGAAUGGUUUAGGGAUAUAACGUUCGCUUCGCACAGCGCAUUCACCUCAUGCGCUACGGCAUUGCGAAAGGUCCGGGGUUCGAUUCCCCGUUUGUCCA